GUAAAAACUACCCUUGUUCAGGAAGAAGUAUCUUUCUUUUGAUUCUGGCACCGUAAAAUAUGAAACUGCAAAAUGCCACCUGACUGUUUAAUCGUUCUGUUAUGUUCAUUUACUGAACAGUGAGUUUGCAGUGAGUAUGUGCUAUGUGUAUGAGUACAUCAAUAUAUCAAACAAAAAAAAACCUUCCUGUAUUUUAGAGCCUCCAUUAAAGGGACACUAUAGUCACCAAAACAACUUUAGCUUAAUGAGACAGUUUUGGUGUCUAGAUCAUGCCCCUAAAGUCUCACUGCUCAAUUCUGUGUGAGUAUUAUAGAGCCCCUAUUAAUGCACAAUAUGUUAGUGUAUUAUAGAGCCCCUAUCAAUGCACAGUAUGUGGGUGUAUUAUAGAGCCCCUAUUAAUGCACAAUAUGUUAGUGUAUUAUAGAGCCCCUAUCAAUGCACAGUAUGUGGGUGUAUCAUAGAGCCCCUAUUAAUGCACAAUAUGUUAGUGUAUUAUAGAGCCCCUAUCAAUGCACAGUAUGUAAGUGUAUUAUAGAGCCUCCAUUAGUGCACAGUAUGUGGGUGUAUUAUAGAGCCUCCAUUAGUGCACAGUAUGUGGGUGUAUUAUAGAGCCUCCAUUAGUGCACAGUAUGUGGGUGUAUUAUAGAGCCUCCAUUAGUGCACAGUAUGUGGGUGUAUUAUAGAGCCUCCAUUAGUGCACAGUAUGUAAGUGUAUUAUAGAGCCCCUAUCAAUGCACAGUGUUUGAGUGUAUUUUAGAGCCCUCAUUACUGCAGUGUGUAUGAGUGUAUUAUAGAGCGGCGAGC